CGCAGCCCGCCUGCCCCCUGCCCGCCAGCCCCACGCGGACUCUCUUUGUUCCGGAGCCGCCCGCCAGGGUCCCCGGAGCCGCUGACUCAGCGCAGUGGAGCCAGCCUUUGGCGCCCUCGCCCCCACCCCACUCUCCCUGGAGACCUGGAGGCUGGCGCCCCGGGAGGUGGGAGGUGCGAGUGCGCCGGCCCAGCCCUUCUUUUGUUCCCCAGGACGUUCCUUUGCUCCAGCCCUCCCAACCUGGAGAGUCUGCGGUUACUGUUUCAGGUUAUGUUUCGGGAAACUGACACCAAGUAAGCCGCCCUGAAACCUGGCUCCUGCCACGUCCUAGUUGUUGAUCUUCCACAGAACAUCUCCAGCCCCACAGAAAGUUCUCUGGAGUUCCUCUCCAAUGAAUCCCACACCUGACCCCAGGCAACCACUGUACCCACUUCUCUCACACUAGGUAAGUUUUGCCUGUUCUAGAACAAUAUAAAUUAAAGCAUACAAUCUGU